rnacentral:rRNA from 1 species
GGGGAAUUUUGGACAAUGGGCGCAAGCCUGAUCCAGCCAUUCCGCGUGCAGGAUGAAGGCCUUCGGGUUGUAAACUGCUUUUGUACGGAACGAAAAGGUUUUCUCUAAUACAGGGGACUGAUGACGGUACCGUAAGAAUAAGCACCGGCUAACUACGUGCCAGCAGCCGCGGUAAUACGUAGGGUGCAAGCGUUAAUCGGAAUUACUGGGCGUAAAGCGUGCGCAGGCGGUGAUGUAAGACAGAUGUGAAAUCCCCGGGCUCAACCUGGGAACUGCAUUUGUGACUGCAUUGCUGGAGUGCGGCAGAGGGGGAUGGAAUUCCGCGUGUAGCAGUGAAAUGCGUAGAUAUGCGGAGGAACGCCGAUGGCGAAGGCAAUCCCCUGGGCCUGCACUGACGCUCAUGCACGAAAGCGUGGGGAGCAAAC